UUGGGCGGUUUGCAGCUUUUGCAAACCCUAAUUUCUUUGAAACGUAGACAACAUAGCUAGAGGCAAGAAAGAAACAGAGAAUAAGGCGGGAAAACAUCAGGCUCAAUCCUCCGGUAAAGAGAGUUCCGGACCCGGCGAUCUAAGGCGAUUGGCUUCAGGAAUCUGCGACGCACUCCGGCGGCGCGUUUAAUGUUUUCCUCGGAACCCUAACAGUAGUUGCGGUGUCGGUCACACAAGUGUGAAACAACGGCGUAUGACGGUAACGAGGGGCGGUUCCGGCGACUAUCGUUUUUUGGUGGCGUGCACAAACUGUAUGAGAGAAUGUGGCACGCUGGUGCAGAACUAAAGACCCGGUGAACAUGUUCCGGCAUGCGCGCGGCUCACACAGGUGGAAGAAAUUGGGGUAUAGAAUCGUGCAAACAACUAUCUGGUGUAUCUGGAGAGGCCGCAACGAAGUGGUUUUCAAACGAAAACAGAGGAAAACAUGAUUGACAUCGGCAACACAAAGAGGAUUCAAUACCUGCCCUAAGAAAGCCAGCCAAUAAACACACACUUUUGAAGCUCAUCGCCUGGACACCAUCUGAUCAUGUAUUUUGCAGCCAGUUGAACACUUAAAGCAAAGGUCUUCUGUAACUAAUACCAUUCCAAGUAACCAACUGCAUGCCUUGCUAAAGCUUGUACUACUUUUGUCUAUUUCAGGUCUUUUGUAAGUAAACCAAUUGUGUGGCUACUAAAGUUUACUAAAUUUGAAAACACUUGCACAGCUAAAGCAAGUGUAUUUUGUAUAUA